rnacentral:tRNA from 1 species
GGUGACCGUGGUGCAGGCUCGGCGCGGUCGGGUCGAAGCCGACGUAGAAGGUCUGCGGCCCGGAGCCGAGGGCCUCCC